GUAGUUGUGGCUGAGUGGUUAAGGCAAUGGGCUAAAAAUCCAUUGAGAUCUCCCCGUGCAGGUUCAAACCCUGUCAACUACA